CUACGGGAGGCAGCAGUGGGGAAUAUUGGACAAUGGGCGCAAGCCUGAUCCAGCCAUGCCGCGUGAGUGAAGAAGGCCUUCGGGUUGUAAAGCUCUUUUGGCGGGGACGAUAAUGACGGUACCCGCAGAAUAAGCUCCGGCUAACUUCGUGCCAGCAGCCGCGGUAAUACGAAGGGAGCUAGCGUUGUUCGGAAUCACUGGGCGUAAAGCGCACGUAGGCGGACUUGUCAGUCAGGGGUGAAAUCCUGAGGCUCAACCUCAGAACUGCCUCCGAUACAGCAAGUCUUGAGUCCGGGAGAGGUAAGUGGAAUUCCUAGUGUAGAGGUGAAAUUCGUAGAUAUUAGGAAGAACACCAGUGGCGAAGGCGGCUCACUGGCCCGGUACUGACGCUGAGGUGCGAAAGCGUGGGGAGCAAACAGGAUUAGAAACCCGGGUAGUCC
rnacentral:rRNA from 1 species